AAGACUAUACUUUCAGGGAUCAUUUCUAUAGUUUGUUACUAGAGAAGUUUCUCUGAACGUGUAGAGCACCAAAAACCACGAGGAAGAGACGUAGUGUUUUCUCCUGAGCGUGAAACAGGCGUUUGGUGUUGCUUCCCUGCAACUGCCGUCAGCCAUUGAUGAUCGUUCUUCUCUCCGCUUAGGAGAGCAAGAGGGAGAGAACGCUGUCUGAGUGGU
rnacentral:snoRNA from 1 species